rnacentral:rRNA from 1 species
CGACCGGCGCACGGGCGCGUAACGCGUAUGCAACCUACCUUUAACAGGGGGAUAACACUGAGAAAUUGGUACUAAUACCCCAUAAUAUCAUAGAAGGCAUCUUUUAUGGUUGAAAAUUCCGAUGGUUAGAGAUGGGCAUGCGUUGUAUUAGCUAGUUGGUGGGGUAACGGCUCACCAAGGCGACGAUACAUAGGGGGACUGAGAGGUUAACCCCCCACACUGGUACUGAGACACGGACCAG